rnacentral:rRNA from 1 species
UACGUAGGGUGCAAGCGUUGUCCGGAAUUAUUGGGCGUAAAGAGCUCGUAGGCGGUUUGUCGCGUCUGCUGUGAAAACCCGAGGCUCAACCUCGGGCCUGCAGUGGGUACGGGCAGACUAGAGUGCGGUAGGGGAGAUUGGAAUUCCUGGUGUAAGCGGUGGAAUGCGCAGAUAUCAGGAGGAACACCGGUGGCGAAGGCGGGUCUCUGGGCAGUAACUGACGCUGAGGAGCGAAAGCUAGGGGAGCGAAUGGG